CCCACAUCAUCGUCCUAGCGACAGCAUCGCCUCUAAUGACGGAAUCACCCAUCAUGUGGUACCUUUUCAUAGGCACAUGUAAAAUGUGCACAUGAUCCAGUACCAAAAGCACUUCCCUAGAUCGGCGGUGUAUCCGAUCAUGCUCCCACAACUCACACUUAUCGAGGCGUAGAGGAAAAAUGAUCCAUACAUUACCAUUUAAAUGAAUGGCACUCAUACUAUUGCACGCCGUAUGAGCAACGAAAUAGAAAUAUGAUGCAGAAACCCCCAAGUCAGU
rnacentral:lncRNA from 1 species